rnacentral:lncRNA from 1 species
AUGCUGAAUUUGAAAGUCCACAUUCUUAACCAUCAGACCACACUGACUGACUCAGUUUUCACAUUGAGAGGGAAAAAUAUUACCAAGUUUGCUCUGGAAAGAUCUGGAAGAAGAUUAUUUUGGGAAAUUCUCGAAAUGGAUAGUGCAUUCAGUUCUGAUAUGGAACACUUCUAUUUUGCAUAUGGACAUGCAUUUUAACAAGAAAAAGGUCAGUGAUGGGAACAGCACUGCUUGUUGGUAUGACAGUCGACAUUUACCUGAGCCUUUUUGAUACACUGCAGUUUAAGAUAAUUUAGUAGGAUAAUUGUCAUGAUUGAUUUUUAUUUUCUUUCUGGACCCACAGCUCACCCUGUUACUCUUGGGCUGGGUAACUUUCAGAAGCUUAAAUUUCCUUUUGGUGGAAAUUCAUUUAUUAAGUUCUGGGUGGAUGACAAACUUUGAUUAAAAUCAUGAACUCUUUUAUGAUCCGUUGGUGAAAGCUGGUGAACCCAACUGCUGUUGACUUAUUCUUUGACCAACAUCUCUUCACCGCAUGACAUGAGAAUGGCAGAAAAUGAAUGGUUGGGAUUUUUCUGUGCAUAAUAUUCUUUCUUAUAAAUCACACAUCUUCUGAGGACUCUGGUGGGAACCUGGGGAGAAAGGUGGCAUUCAAACACAUUGUCAUCACAGUCAUAACAGUCAUGUAGCUUUACAUAGUAAUUCUUUGUCCACCAAUGGUAAGAUCAUACUUUUGGGAAAGAAGAAGAAAAGACCAGUUAUAUUUAGAAUAGUUUACAACUUUCACUGAUGAGACAAAAGGGAGGCACUUGAGGAGAAAUGCAUGACACUUAGAUCAAAAGAAAGGAAGAGAUGCCCAGAGAGGGCCAGAAAAAUAUCAGAUAAAGGAAAAUCCCAGUUCAAUUUGAGAAACAUUUAUUGACCAACUGCUAUGUGCCAAAUACUCUGUCUGGUGUUAUUUCUCACAGGAUCAAACAAGAUGGAUGUCACUUUUGACAUUAGCCUGCUUGCAUCUCCCAGGAAAAAGGGGACAAAAAACUGUCUGUGUUAAGUAUUUGCUGAUUUUCCAGCCAUAUAUCCAUUCCUCUCUCUGAUUUUCCUCGGUAUAAUUCUUCCUUGUUCCCAGGCUUUGAGUUACAGAGAGGGCUGACCCU